CGCUAUCACUCCUACGGGGAGGCAGCAGUAGGGAAUCUUCCACAAUGGGCGCAAGCCUGAUGGAGCAACACCGCGUGAGUGAAGAAGGGUUUCGGCUCGUAAAGCUCUGUUGUUAAAGAAGAACACGUAUGAGAGUAACUGUUCAUACGUUGACGGUAUUUACCAGAAAGUCACGGCUAACUACGUGCCAGCAGCCGCGGUAAUACGUAGGCGGCAAGCGUUAUCCGGAUUUAUUGGGCGUAAAGAGAGUGCAGGCGGUUUUCUAAGUCUGAUGUGAAAGCCUUCGGCUUAACCGGAGAAGUGCAUCGGAAACUGGAUAACUUGAGUGCAGAAGAGGGUAGUGGAACUCCAUGUGUAGCGGUGGAAUGCGUAGAUAUAUGGAAGAACACCAGUGGCGAAGGCGGCUACCUGGUCUGCAACUGACGCUGAGACUCGAAAGCAUGGGUAGCGAACAGGAUUAGAUACCCUGGUAG
rnacentral:rRNA from 1 species